rfam:Triticum aestivum genome assembly, contig: Triticum_aestivum_CS42_TGACv1_scaffold_019012_1AS
GCGCUAGGCAGCGCUGAGAUCGUCUCCCAUGUCCUUGGUGGUCUCGACCUUGACUACAACCUGGUUGUAUCAGCACUUGCGGCUCGGGUAGAGCCCGUGACUGUCCAGGAGCUCUACAACCAGCUACUGAGCUUCGAUG